GAACAACUGUACCUGAAGAACUCCCUUGCCCAGAUGAGCUAAUAUCAGAAGAUCCAGCAGUAGAUAGUUCAGGUUUAUUUGAAGCAAGUGUUGCAGUUAGGACAGUUGCAGUUGUUUCCUGGAUAUGAAGACCCAACCAUGCCUUCUCUAAGCUGGAAGCCAGAACUUCAGCACUAACAAUUCCUUCAUUUUGCCAAAGUUGAACUCCAUUGUACCCAAUAGCUGCUAUAGAAGGGACAGAUUUCUGUGGAUAUAUUGCACGAAAAUUUGCAGCAUCAGUGCUUGAUUCUGGGAUAUGCAAGAAAAUGCAGUAGUUUGACAGUGACUCUGCCACUUUUGAAUCAGUCCAUGUGGAUUUUUCCA
rnacentral:misc_RNA from 1 species